CCUACGGGGGGCUGCAGUCGAGAAUCUUUAGCAAUGGGCGAAAGCCUGACUAUGCGACGCCGCGUGAGGGAUGAAGGAUUUCGGUUCGUAAACCUCUUUUGGCAGGGAAGAAAAUUCCGCAGUAAAUAACUGCGGAACUGACGGUACCUGCAGAAUAAGCCACGGCUAACUCCGUGCCAGCAGCCGCGGUAAUACGGAGGUGGCAAGCGUUACUCGGAAUUAUUGGGUGUAAAGGGCAAGUAGGCGGAUUAAUAAGUGGGGGGUGAAAUACUCCGGCUCAAUCGGAGAACAGCCUUCCAAACUGUUAGUCUUGAGUCUGUCAGAGGAAAAUGGAAUUCUCGGUGUAAGGGUGAAAUCUGUAGAUAUCGAGAAGAACACCAGCGGCGAAGGCGAUUUUCUGGGACAGUACUGACGCUAAAUUGCGAAAGCUAGGGGAGCAAACAGAAUUAGAUACCCCAGUAGUC
rnacentral:rRNA from 1 species